UACGAAGGGGGCUAGCGUUGUUCGGAAUUACUGGGCGUAAAGCGUGCGCAGGCGGCUUCUCAAGUCAGGGGUGAAAGCCCAGAGCUCAACUCUGGAAUUGCCUUUGAGACUGAGUGGCUUGAGUACGAGAGAGGUGAGUGGAAUUCCCAGUGUAGAGGUGAAACUUCGUAGAUAUUGGGAAGAACACCGGUGGCGAAGGCGGCUCACUGGCUCGUAACUGACGCUCAGGCGCGACAGCGUGGGGAUCAAACAGG
rnacentral:rRNA from 1 species